ACCCGCUGAACUUAAGCAUAUCAGUAAGCGGAGGAAAAGAAACUAACUAGGAUUCCCCGAGUAGCGGCGAGCGAAAGGGGAGAAGCCCAGCGCCGAAGCCCGUCACCCCUCGGUGGCAGUGCAAUGUGGCGUUUCGGCGUCGACUCGCGACGGUCGCUCUGGCACGAGUACCUCUGAAUGGGUCUGCCCCGGCGGGUGUCAGCCCUCUACUUGCCAGACGAGCGGCCGCCGCCUGUCGUCGUCGCGGAGUCGGGUUGCUUGAGAGUGCAGCCCAAAGUGGGUGGUAAGCUCCAUCUAAGGCUAAAUACCUAGUGCGAGACCGAUAGCAAACAAGUACCGUGAGGGAAAGUUGCAAAGAACUUUGAAAAGAGAGUUCAAGAGUACGUGAAACCGUUCAGAGGCAAACGGACGGAACUGGGCGAGUUCGUCGUCGUCAUUCAGCCGCACUCGUCCUCGCGGGCGAGCGGCGGUGCACUUGGCGGCGGCGGAGCGCGACGACCGCCUGUCGGGUCGUCAGAAGCCCGGCGGCAAGGUGGCGACGCGUUCGCGCGUCGUGUUACAGGCCGCCGCGGCGUUGGCUGACUCGGCGGGCGAGGAGCGCCUGCGGUGCACUCCCCCUUCGGGCGGGAGUGGCUCGACGUGGUGGGCUUGCGGACGCCGGCUUUGAACUGCUCGCAGUUUGAGGUCGCGCGCGCCGUCUGUCGCGCCGCGCGAUGCCACGAGGCACCCAGGGUCCGGGUCGUGUGGUUCCUGGCACUCCGUCCGACCCGUCUUGAAACACGGACCAAGGAGUUGAGCACGCGCGCGAGUCGAUGGGCUCUCAGAACCCCAGUGGCGCAGCUAAGGCAAAACGGGCGUGAUCCGGCACUGGCGUGUCGGCGCAACGCCGGCCCGCGGGCGACUCGCUGCAAGUGCCCGCGGUGCAAGAGCGCGUGUGCUCAGACCCGAAAGGUGGUGAACUAUGCUUGAGCAGGGCGAAGCCAGAGGAAACUCUGGUGGAGGCUCGCAGCGAUCCUGACGUGCAAAUCGGUCGUCAAACUUGAGCAUAGGGGCGAAAGACUAAUCGAACCGCCUAGUAGCUGGUUCCCUCCGAAGUUUCCCUCAGGAUAGCUGGCACUCGGGAUAAAUGGUUUUAUCCGGUAAAGCGAAUGAUUAGAGGCAUUGGGGACGAAACGUCCUCAACCUAUUCUCAAACUUUAAAUGGGUAAGAGGCGCGGCCCCUCCUAAUCGGGGUCGCGUGCUUGAACAGAGAGUGCCCAGUGGGCCGUUUUUGGUAAGCAGAACUGGCGCUGUGGGAUGAACCAAACGCUCGGUUAGGGUGCCUAACGCGCGCUCAUGAGAUACCACAAAAGGUGUUGGUUGAUAUAGACAGCAGGACGGUGGCCAUGGAAGUCGGAAUCCGCUAAGGAGUGUGUAACAACUCACCUGCCGAAUCAACUAGCCCUGAAAAUGGAUGGCGCUGGAGCGCGCGACCCAUACCGGGCCGUCGGAGCAACGCGUGCGAAAUGCCAGGCUCCGACGAGUAGGAGGGCGUGUCGGUGGCGUUGAAGCGUAGUGCGUGAGCACGCGUGGAGCCGCCUUCAGUGCAGAUCUUGGUGGUAGUAGCAAGUAUACAAAUGAGAACUUUGUAGACCGAAGUGGAGAAGGGUUCCAUGUGAACAGCAGUUGGACAUGGGUCAGUCGGCCCUAAGAGAUCGGAAAAUUCCGUUCUGAACGGGGGAGACGCUUGCCGCGUGCCCGCCCGCCCGCACUGGCCGUGUCUGAAGCAUUAGCACUAUCGGCACCCGUUCGGUGUACGUGCGUGACAAAGACGCGCGCGGCCAGUCGCGCGGCGACCAAAAGGCGGGAGUCAGACGCGCGCGCUCGCGUGCUUGUCAGCCCCGAUGCGAUCGAAAGGGAAUCGGGUUAAUAUUCCCGAACCUGGCAGUGGAGAUUGGGCCCUCGGGCCCCAGUGCGGUAACGCAACCGAACUCGGAGACGCCAGCGUCGAUCCCGGGAAGAGUUCUCUUUUCUUUGUUAGGAGCGGACUCCCUGGAAUUGGCUUGUCCAGAGAUAGGGACGUUGCAUCCGUAAAGCGUCGCGCCUCACGCGGCGUCCGGUGCAUCGGCGUUGGCCCUUGAAAAUCCGAGGGAGGCAGUGUAAUUUUCACUCCAGGCCGUACCCGAAUCCGCAGCAGGUCUCCAAGGUGAACAGCCUCUGGUCGAUAGAACAAUGUAGGUAAGGGAAGUCGGCAAAUCCGAUCCGUAACUUCGGGACAAGGAUUGGCUCUGAGGUGCGGGCUGCUUCGGGUCGCGGCAAGAAGCGGACUGUGCGUUGGUUGGACUGGGCGCGCCUCGGCGCGUUCGGACCGCCGCCAGCGCGCUUCCGUGGGAGGCCGUGGCUUUCGCCGGCGGGGGCUCACGCGCCUCGUCGGCUUCGUUCGGCCUAAACGCACAGCACAGAACUGGCGCGGACUCUGGGAACACGACUGUCUAAUUAAAACAAAGCAUCGCGAUGGCCG
rnacentral:rRNA from 1 species